GGAGAUUUGGGAGUAUAAAUAGAGGAUCUGCAGCCGGUGCAGACCAGACUCACUCUGAACAGAGAGAUCUACAGCACAGAGAUCCAGACAUGACACCUACAAUCAUCUCAGAGGAGCAGCUCCCUCUCAACAACAAGCUGAGAAAGCCAAGGCUGGAGAAGAUGCUCAGAGAUUGUGUCAACUCAAGCUCAAGUGUCUUCUGGCUCCAGAGUUCAUCAAGCAGCAGCCGGAUUCAAAGCUGGAGAAAGCAGAGAUCCUGGAGAUGAUGGUCUGUUUCGAGAAACAAACAGCAAACACUUCCAGCUGCUGCUGAAAUCAUCUGAUUAAUAAGAGUUUCUGCGCCAUCUGAAGGAAAGCAAUGUCUUUGCGAAAAAAAUCUGUAUUAGAUGUCAAUAACAGCAUUAUUGGAUUUGAUUUUAUGAAUCCAUUUUUGUUUCCAAUCAAUGGAAAUGUAUUGUGUUGUUUGAAUACUUUUAUAUAUACCUUCAAUGAAGGCAUAUUACAUGUUUAUUAUACAAAUGCAAAUCUUUGCUUUAUGUGAAGUACAAAUAUCCCAUAUUGGGAAAUGGUUUUUAAUAUAUUAUGAGUAUGAUAAACACUCUGUUGUCCUCAUAGGACAUAAUCUCAUCAGAAUCACAUGUAAAGGUGGUGCAGUGUUUUUUACUGCCAUGCACUGUAAUUAACUCACUUCUGUUGAGUGUGACGCAUGGGAUGUUUAUUUUCCUUUACUGGAAUAUUUUAACAGUCAAAUACCUUGACAUUAAGUGCUAAGUGUUUCUGUUAUGCUUUGCUUUUAUUCCUCAUGUGGAGGAGUGUUAAUAAUGAUUUGUGGUAAAUCAUUUGUGCUAAAUGUCACAUGACUUUUGUAAAGCUCAAGAAUAUUUGAUAUGAGUUCCAAUAUGUGUUUAAUGCAUCUUGGAGAUCUCUUCAUGCAGAUGGUGUGAUAUGUUAUCCCCUGUUUAUUUGCAUUCUUGGUGGCAUCAUGUCAUCACAAAACAUACAAAAAAAUAUGAAUAAAAAUUUUUUAAAUAUA